UUCCCGGCAGUCCAGUGGUUAGGACUCUGCGUUUCCACUGCAGGGGGCACGGGUUCCAUCCCUGGCUGGGGAA
rnacentral:tRNA from 1 species